GGUGACCGUGACUACGCUGGACUGUAAUAACGCCCCAUUAAGGACACCGUGUACCCGUGUACCCGUGGAUGAUGUCAUGCGCAACUCAAAGGCGGUAAUUGAAUUGCGUCCCUGCGGGCCGGUGGACUGGACAGAGAGAGGAACGGGCAGAUGAAGCUCACUCCGUGAGUGAGAUAACGCAGGGCAAUCGGCAGCUGGGCUAAAGUCCUCCUGCAGACCUCAGUCAGCCCGCUGCACCUGCUCUGUUUUGGAGAAGGAUGGGCGGCAGUGUAGUACAAUGGGACUUUGACACAUCAGAAGGAGAUUACUGUGGCCUUCGUGUGGAGAUCCCCAGUUGAUGAAGACGUAAAUAAUGACCUCCUGACGACCAGAGAAGAAAGCUCUAUCACACUCUCUCCCUGUCAAGGCAGACAGCCCUCAGGUAUAAUCCUCUGGUACAUUAUUAGUCUCUCUGGUUCUGCCUUUGGGUACCACU